GAUGAACGCCGGCGGUGUGCCUAAUACAUGCAAGUCGUACGCACUGGCCCAACUGAUUGAUGGUGCUUGCACCUGAUUGACGAUGGAUUACCAGUGAGUGGCGGACGGGUGAGUAACACGUAGGUAACCUGCCCCGGAGCGGGGGAUAACAUUUGGAAACAGAUGCUAAUACCGCAUAACAACAAAAGCCACAUGGCUUUUGUUUGAAAGAUGGCUUUGGCUAUCACUCUGGGAUGGACCUGCGGUGCAUUAGCUAGUUGGUAAGGUAACGGCUUACCAAGGCGAUGAUGCAUAGCCGAGUUGAGAGACUGAUCGGCCACAAUGGAACUGAGACACGGUCCAUACUCCUACGGGAGGCAGCAGUAGGGAAUCUUCCACAAUGGGCGCAAGCCUGAUGGAGCAACACCGCGUGAGUGAAGAAGGGUUUCGGCUCGUAAAGCUCUGUUGUUGGAGAAGAACGUGCGUGAGAGUAAC
rnacentral:rRNA from 1 species